UGUGCUGUGUGUGUUCGGUCUGAGUUAAUGUUAUAUAUCUCUGUGUUAUAGAACACGUUCUGGUUCGGUCUGGGUGGUUGCUGUGUGUUCCUGGUUCCCAGCAUCAUCCUGUCAGUCAAACUGGCCAAGUACUACAGGAGGAUGGAUACGGAGGACGUGUUUGAAGAGGGCCAAGAAAACUGGUAGAGAAACAAAGGUGGGAAAGAGAACAAGACAACAACAACAACCCAAGAAGACAGAACUCUGCUGAUCUCUGCCCCACAACAACCUGAUUUGGAUAAGGACCUUAGCUGCUUAGCCAAUUACAGUAGCCCAAAUGAUGCCCUGUACGUUCCAUCGCCCAAUCACAACACUAGUUCUGUCUGACGUCACACCUGUGUGAACGUGUCGGUGGAUUAUUUCUAUAUAGUUGAUUCGAUAUAUCAAGAGUUAUUAGAGACAAGUGUUCUGUUUGUUUCUACUCAGCUGGAACCACUGACUCAUCUCAAUGACUUGUACAUUUUAUACGCUUUCAACACCUUUGAAAGUUUUAUAUAUAUUUUUUAAUAUAAUAUAUUAGCAUGUUAGCGGACGCUAGCUAACCCAAACCAUGUUAGCAGACACUAGAUACAAAACCAUUGUAAGCGUGUUAGCUAGCGGACGCUAGCUGCUUGUUGUUUGACAGCUUGUAACCAUCGCAUUGACUUUGAUGUCAUAUCUGUGAUGUCAUAUCGAUGAUGUCAGGACUGUGAUGUCACGACUGAUGUCACUUCAGGCUCUGAAUCUGUGAAUAAAGAGGUCAGUUCGCUGA